CAGCUUGCUGGGGGGAUUAGUGGCGAACGGGUGAGUAACACGUGAGUAACCUGCCCUUAACUCUGGGAUAAGCCUGGGAAACUGGGUCUAAUACCGGAUAUGACUCCUCAUCGCAUGGUGGGGGGUGGAAAGCUUUUUGUGGUUUUGGAUGGACUCGCGGCCUAUCAGCUUGUUGGUGAGGUAAUGGCUCACCAAGGCGACGACGGGUAGCCGGCCUGAGAGGGUGACCGGCCACACUGGGACUGAGACACGGCCCAGACUCCUACGGGAGGCAGCAGUGGGGAAUAUUGCACAAUGGGCGCAAGCCUGAUGCAGCGACGCCGCGUGAGGGAUGACGGCCUUCGGGUUGUAAACCUCUUUCAGUAGGGAAGAAGCGAAAGUGACGGUACCUGCAGAAGAAGCGCCGGCUAACUACGUGCCAGAAGCCGCGGUAAUACGUAGGGCGCAAGCGUUAUCCGGAAUUAUUGGGCGUAAAGAGCUCGUAGGCGGUUUGUCGCGUCUGCCGUGAAAGUCCGGGGCUCAACUCCGGAUCUGCGGUGGGUACGGGCAGACUAGAGUGAUGUAGGGGAGACUGGAAUUCCUGGUGUAGCGGUGAAAUGCGCAGAUAUCAGGAGGAACACCGAUGGCGAAGGCAGGUCUCUGGGCAUUAACUGACGCUGAGGAGCGAAAGCAUGGGGAGCGAACAGGAUUAGAUACCCUGGUAGUCCAUGCCGUAAACGUUGGGCACUAGGUGUGGGGGACAUUCCACGUUUUCCGCGCCGUAGCUAACGCAUUAAGUGCCCCGCCUGGGGAGUACGGCC
rnacentral:rRNA from 1 species